UACGGGGGGGGCAAGCGUUGUUCGGAAUUACUGGGCGUAAAGGGCUCGUAGGCGGCCAACUAAGUCAGACGUGAAAUCCCUCGGCUUAACCGGGGAACUGCAUCUGAUACUGGCAGGCUUGAAUCCGGGAGAGGGAUGUGGAAUUCCAGGUGUAGCGGUGAAAUGCGUAGAUAUCUGGAGGAACACCGGUGGCGAAGGCGGCAUCCUGGACCGGUAUUGACGCUGAGGCGCGAAAGCUAGGGGAGCAAACGGG
rnacentral:rRNA from 1 species